rnacentral:lncRNA from 1 species
NNNNNNGGCAAGCAGCUGGAAGACGGGCGCACCCUGUCCGACUACAACAUCCAGAAGGAGUCCACCCUGCACCUGGUGCUGCGUCUCAGAGGUGGGAUGCAGAUCUUCGUGAAGACCCUGACGGGCAAGACCAUCACCCUGGAGGUGGAGCCCAGUGACACCAUUGAGAAUGUCAAGGCGAAGAUCCAAGACAAGGAGGGCAUCCCCCCCGACCAGC